UACGUAGGGACCGAGCGUUGUCCGGAAUCAUUGGGCGUAAAGAGCUCGUAGGCGGUUCGUCGCGUCGGCUGUGAAAUCCCGGAGCUCAACUCCGGGUCUGCAGUCGAUACGGGCGGACUUGAGUACUGCAGGGGAGACUGGAAUUCCUGGUGUAGCGGUGAAAUGCGCAGAUAUCAGGAGGAACACCGAUGGCGAAGGCAGAUCUCUGGGCCGUAACUGACGCUGAGGAGCGAAAGCAUGGGGAGCGAACAGG
rnacentral:rRNA from 1 species